AGGUAUAUGCUUGUCUCAAAGAUUAUCCAUGCAUGUCUAAGUAUAAGCAACUAUACGGUGAACCUGCGGAAGGAUCAUUAAAUCAGUUAUCGUUUAUUUGAUAGUACCUUACUACUUGGCAUAACCGUGGUAAUUCUAAAGCUAAUACAUGCUGAAAACCUCGACUUCAGAAGGGGUGUAUAUAUAAAAUAAGGCAAAAGACCAAAAAAAAUUUUUGGUUCCUUAUAUCUUACUCAGUUACUUGGAUAACUGUGGUAAUUCUAGAGCUAAUACAUGCAAUCAGAACUCUGACCAGUGAUGGGAUGAGUGCUUUUAUUAAAUCAAAACCAAUCGACGGAGGGCCUCGCGUCCGAAGUCGUUAAUUUUGAUGAAUUAUCAACUUUCCAUGGAAGUUUCUGCGACUACCAUGGUUGUCACGGGUAACGGGGAAUCAGGGUUCGAUUCCGGAGAGGGAGCCUGAGAAACGGCUACCACAUCCAAGGAAGGCAGCAGGCGCGCAAAUUACCCACUCCCGGCACGGGGAGGUAGUGACGAAAAAUAACGAUACGGGACUCUUACGAGGCCUCGUAAUCGGAAUGAGUACACUUUAAAUAUUUUAACGAGGAACAAUUGGAG
rnacentral:rRNA from 1 species